GGGAGCCCCAUGUGGGUAGAUGGGGGCCACACUGGGGUGGCAGCCAGAGUUCCUACUUGUGGGAAGCUGCGGCGUGUCCUCCAUGGGAGUGGCAUCCGUGAUUUCUCCUCAGGCCGGGUUCUGUCCGCACCCCCUCCUUUGACGUCCUGUCCCCAGUUCCUCAGACGAUAACCAUGAUUGGAGAUGUCUUUAAUGAGGUGAUGAAGACAAAACGAGGAUGUUAAGAUCGAACCUAAUCCAACCUGACUGCAGGUGUCCUUGUAAGCAGAGGGAAUCUGGACACACAGAGGGGACACUGGGGACAGAAGAAAGACCAUCAAGGACACAGAGAGAAAGUGGCCCUCGGCAAGACAAGAAGAGAGGCCCCAGAGUCAAAUCAACUGUGCCGACUCCUCGAUUCUGGACGUCCACCUUCAGAACCACGUGAAACACAAAGAUGGGGGCACAUGUAGGAGGUGAUCACAGAAUCCCAGGUUUGGAAGAUGAAAUAAACUCACUGAGAAGAACUGAGAAGUGGACUCUUGAGCACAGAGAGG